AAAGUGCUCAUCCGCCCUUGCUGCGGGCUGCCUGUUAGCAUGCUAGGUAGCGUAACGCGCGGGCCUGUCAAGGGCGCCUAGAGAGUGACCCUCGGACCCCUGCGCUGCAGCCAUUUAGGGACGUCCCACCCCGUCCGGCGAAGAGGCACGGUCAGGUGUGGUGUUCUGUUGUGGAGAGAGACCCGGCCUGUUUUGCUGUUCUCUACACUCCAGGGAGGGGCGUGUUUGUGCUGGGUGGAGGGCGGUGCACACCUUGCGUGAACCCCGCACCUAUCGCAGGCCAGGGUUCAACUACCGGGGACCUUCCUUGGCCCCCUUGCCGGGAUUCCCCGAGCCCUCCUGAGUAUCUGCAGCAGGGACACCGUUCUGCGUUCCAGCUCCGAGAGAGGACCGGUGUCUUCCUUAGGGCCGAGGAACACCUUGCAAAGAACUCCACAAGGUGCACACCUCGAUCACCAAGGUGCCGCUGCAAUCAUGUACCAGGCUCCUAGAGGUCUGGAAGCUGAGAAAUUCCCCAUACAAGUAGUCCAUGUCUCCAGUUCCAAGAAACACCAGUACCAAGCACCACAAGAAUGUAGACAGAUGGAAGAAAGACCGAGGAGCUGAGUGGUAGACCCACUGCCAACAAAAAAGGCUGACUCCAGCAGAUGCAGGCCACCAUAGGAUCUUGGGCUGUAGGAGAUACCAAGCAUUUUGUGACUGAUAUGUGUAUACAGCCUUGGCCUCAGAAUUCUCCAGGUAGAUGCUGGCUGGGCCCAGACAAGACUCAGAUGGCUGCUCCAUCUGGCUGCCUUCAGAGCCAUCAGUCAUGAUCUUAACUGCAUGUGUUUGGGACCAACAUCUAGCUUGGGUGAUUACCUACUGCCAUCGAGCUUGCCUGUCUAUGAGUUCUGCCAGAAGCCAGCAUCGACCCUCAUUGCAUCCAGCACUGCCUACUUCACACAUAGGGGGAUUCUGAAGGGACCUAGGAAGAAGGCUUGAAGAAUGAAUGGCUGAUUCCUGGUUCUGAUUUGAACAUUAUUGAAAACUGGACCAGUUCUUUUGGGGGUCUGCAUGGCAUGUGGGUAUGCCGUGGCAGAACUAAGUGUUCUAGUGCCACCAAGAAUCCCUGCCGUAGGCAGGGUGUAAGGACAGACAUCACAGGCCGCUUUGCAGCAGUUCACUCAGUGUAGACAGGCACUGUGUAAAGAAGGGGACACAAGACAUUUCAAAGAUAUUGGGUUUUGAUAAUGGUUGGAUACAAGAUGUUCUUUUUAUUAUCCUUGAAAAUAUGCACCUGAUAUAUCCGCGCCUAUGUGCUUUUCAAUUUUAAAACUUUUAUUUUAAUAAAUAAGAUCUGCACAUGAUAGAAAGCUUCAAGAAAGACACCCGUUUGAUUGCUCUUCCCAAAUGCAAACAUGGCUGAAGGUACAGGAGCCUGUGCACACAGAUAGCCAAGCGUUAUCUUUGCUAAGCCUGACUGCCACCCUGGAAAUCAUGUGACUCUGCAAAUAAGGAGUCAGAGGCUCCAGAAGAUGAAGUAACUUCCUUCAGGCCACACAGUGACCCCCAGACACUGCAUCAUAUAGCUCAGAUGAGGAGUCAGAGGCUCCAGAAGGUUAAAUGACUUCCUCCAGAUCACACAAUGACCCCCAGUCACUGCACUGUGCUGCUUGGAAACCGCUAAGCACUCACUGGCAGCCUUUGUUAUUUCCUUGAUGGAAACAAUCAAUCAAACUCUAAGGAGGUAUAUUGAAAAGAAGGGUCAGAUGAAUAGUAUAAAUGCUGUCCAAGACAGCAGCUGCUGAGCUCAGGGAAAAAUAGUGUAAGGACUCAAACCCACUCCAGCAGCAGCAGGAGCAGCAGCAACAAGAAGAAAGCAUGAAAAGUGUGAAUCACUGAGUGAUGAGCAGUCCUCAUGCAGGGACUUAAGAGAAAACUGGCUUCAUCUGCUGUGUAAACCUCUGUAGCACCAAGCGCAUCUGAGUCCAGCCAGCCAGAGACACAAAAGCUUCCAAAGGCUAGAUAGGUAGGUAUGUGUGACUUACUGUAAGGGAGAAAGGGCAUGUGGGGCUGGGGCUAGUCCAGCCUCACUAGGGUGACUCUAGCACAGAGGAAGAGCUUCUGACACCAGAUUCAAGCAUGUCUGUUUCAACUGCCCUUCUCUGCUACAGAGCUAUAGUGGUCCCCACCCUUCCUAACGAUUACAGCUCUUUAACACAGUUCCUCAUGUUGUAAUGACCCCCAACUGUAGAAUUGCUUUGUUGCUACUUUAUAACUGUAAUUCCCUGUGUUUUACAAUGGUCUUAGGCAACCCAUAUGAAAAAGUUGGUUGACUCCCAAAGGGGUUGUGAACCACAGGUUGAGAACCACUACCUUAAGAGGAAAGCCAAAUGUGAAAUGUCCCAGAGAAUGGUGGCAGGGGUUAGGGGUGUCUUAGCAUGAGGUAAGACCAGAAUCAAGACCUGAUCAAGAGCAUCUGCUAGGGUGAGAAAUCUUAAAGUCUCUCUGGCUUCCCUUCUUAAAAUAACAGUACAGCAGGGAGGGCAAAUAGCACUCCUUUCCCUUAGAGGCCUUCCAGAGAUACAAAGGCCCCUGAAGGCUAGGUAGGUAGAUACAUUCGACUUAUUGUGGAAGAGAGAAAGGCCAUGUGGGGCUGGGCUUGACUUUAAAUUUGACCAGUGGUUUGGUAUACUACAUUUCACAGUAUGCUGUGUCUUCCCUCCAGUUGUGUACUGGCAUGUUUAUUUUGGUAAACACUGCUUGACUACCCCUUCUAGUCAUCACAGAAGGAGGCAGCUGCUAUGUAAUAAGAUCCUAAGGAACUGACUUUGACCAAGGUCAUUGGUGAGUCACAGGGCUGGAUUUGUUUUGAAUGCUCUGUGUCUUCCGGUCUACCUGUCAGUGGUUGACCUCCUCCUGACCCGUAUGUGCUAAAGGCAGCAAAGCUAAAGUGGUUUUAGACAGGCUUCCUGCUGUUCUCCCUUCCCUCCUUUCACAAAAGGGUUCCACUGUACUAGAGAAAUCCCCACUGCCCAGUCUCUCUGAACACCUUCUCCCAGCUUGGCACCCUCUCACUGCAACCUGACAUGGACCACCAGCAGGGUACUCUAGUGUCCAGAUAGGUCAUGUUACAGAUGUCAGUGGUGUUAGCCAAGCCACCUGAGGACAGCCCCAAGGGCCUGGUGGUGGCAGCAGUAUCUGUCACCACCCAUCAGGUGCACAGGCCCUCCCUGGAAGAUCCUUGGUUCUUCAGUGGCUGUUGGCAGCCUUGAGUCACUUGACAUCAAAUCCCAAACUUCCUCAUUCUCCAAAACUGCUUCCUGAAGCUGGUGGUGGGGGUGCCCUUUGCUGGCCACACUAGAGAGGCAGAAAGGGCUUUCAGGGCCUCUGUUCCUGACACCAAAAGUCUGGGUAUUUCUAAGCUUUCUCUGGACCUAAGCCCAGAGAAGCUGUGAGAGAAUUCAGAACAGAAUCUGUUGAGCUGGCAUUUGCUAAAGCAUUCACAGAUCUGGUCACAUGGCAAGGGUGAGUAGCUCAGCCUUGGGUUCACCAUGUUGAUACCUGAGAUAGUAUGGGAGCUAAAAAGCACAGCUCUGGCUGGGCUUGUGAUAGAAACUCAACCAGAGCAGCUUCGGCUUCCCAAAUCCCCUCUGUGCCUCACAAAGGGUCUUUUUGUGUGUGUGCCUUGUAUGUGUACAUUUCCUCACCCCUGAUAAAAACUUUUCUCUACUGGCAAACAAACAAACAGCCUCCCUAAAAAAACAAAAACCAAUAGAACAGAAAAUGGAAAAUUAAACAUAGCUCUAACAGAAAGGAAAAGAAGUUCGGGGCAGGCACUAGGUAUGGUGGUAAUAAGAGUGUGGACUUCAGAGUCACCACUUGGAUAGGCUGUAAAUCUGAGUAGAUUACUUAAACCUGAGCAUUUGUGAAUAAGAAUUAAAUUAAGGCAAAUAUUAAGUGAGCUUAGCUCCAUGCCUGGUACUGCUUACACUGGUGUCUCCUAGCCCACCUCCUUCUGUUACCUGCCUCAGAGUCCUGGGACGGAGGGUCUGUAUUUGCCCAGCACAGCUCCACUCCUUCCUGGGACUGGACUAUUCCAGGCUCCCACGGUAGAUAUUUGAUAGGCUUAAAAAUCAGCAGUCACGGGGUUGGGGAUUUAGCUCAUUGGUAGAGUGCUUGCCUAGUAAGCGCAAGGCCCUGGGUUCAGUCCCCAGCUCCGAAAAAAAGAAAAAAAAAUCAGCAGUCACACAGGAUACCACAUGCCUGAAGGUCUACUAGACACCCCAAAACACAGAGGUAGAGAGCAGCAGAAGAGAAGCUCCAAGGGACCAGAUUCCUUGCCUUCUGCAAUGGCUCACAAGGCCCCACUGCCAAUGCUCCUAUUUAUAGACAGGAGCCAAGUGAUCCUGGCAUACAUGGGCCAAGGAGAUGGGCAGAGAAGGCAAACUACAUGCAGGUUAAGAAAGAGAUCAAAACAUGUAGCAAAUGUAAUGUAAUGGCUAAGAUAACAUGUUUGAAAAGGACAAAAAUCUGGUUUGAUUAAUUUCUUAGAAAGGGCAAAUAUCUGUGAACAAACAAAAACUUGCACAAGAACUAAUUGUAUUUUAACAUGCCUCUGAUGGCAACAUACACCCAGGCAGAGUAUCGUGAUAGCCUUCUUUACAACCGAUGAAGAAAAACAAAAGAUAAACACAAUUAAGGAGUCAGCGCCACUUUGUUCUGGCAUCAACUGAUGGGAGGCAGUAUCGGUGAUGCCACCAUGCAGGGCAAGCAUGGAGAACUCGAUUCUCUUCUCUUUCUGGAUCUCUGAAACAAGGAUGAAAGAUCAGACUGCCUCUCUCCCCACCGCUAGAAUACUAUGACCUCCCAUUCCAAGGAUGACCUACAAAGGACAAUCAUCAUAAACUCUCCCAGUUUGUGUGUGACACUCAGCUCCUGAAACGGAAACACCAUGGAAUCAAAUACAAAAGGCCUGAGUGAAGAACGCAAAGAAAUGGAAAGGCAUCCAGAUUCAAACUCCACAGCCUUUGUGCCAUCAGAUAUAUGCUAAAGAAGACCUACAUCCAGUGUAUAAUCAUGGUCUUAAAGAGCCAAACUCAGGAAUAAGGUAAACAAUAUCUCAAACCAGAAGCCUUUAUCCUGUUCUCCAUAGAAAUCUUCCUAAAGAUUCCUGAAUGUGCAUAUAUACAAAGAGAAGCAAAUUGUACAAGAACUCACCUAGAAAGACAAUACAAGAUAAGGCUUCUCAGUCUAGACCUACAUUAGGGUUAUUUCAAUGCACUAACCUUUUCACCAAAUCCUAGGGCCUGAGCCCUUCAUGAGAGACCUUGCACAUAUCUAACAGGAAUGUAUUAAAACUAAAGAAUGUCAAAGAAAGGUGAGGACUUUUGAGAUUAGUUCAAAGGACUUGGGUCCCACUGACCACUUUUAGGUUAAAAAUUAGGAAGUACAUUUCUGCUUUCACAUUGCACAGCCUUUCUCCUCACUCCUAGAAACUGAGGAGAAGCUCUGAGGCUUCUGAGUCAGGCCCUCUUCUAAGCUCUGGACUCCUAUUUCAUCCAAUAAACAGAUCAGAUGCUUUCUUC
rnacentral:sRNA from 1 species